ACUCCUACGGGAGGCAGCAGUGGGGAAUAUUGGACAAUGGGCGCAAGCCUGAUCCAGCCAUGCCGCGUGAGUGAUGAAGGCCUUCGGGUUGUAAAGCUCUUUUGGCGGGGACGAUGAUGACGGUACCCGCAGAAUAAGCCCCGGCAAACUUCGUGCCAGCAGCCGCGGUAAGACGAAGGGGGCAAGCGUUGUUCGGAAUUACUGGGCGUAAAGGGCGCGUAGGCGGCCGCUUUAGUCAGGUGUGAAAGCCCUGGGCUCAACCUGGGAAUGGCACUUGAUACUGGGUGGCUAGAGAGCGGGAGAGGAUGGUGGAAUUCCCAGUGUAGAGGUGAAAUUCGUAGAUAUUGGGAAGAACACCGGUGGCGAAGGCGGCCAUCUGGACCGUAUCUGACGCUGAGGCGCGAAAGCGUGGGGAGCAAACAGGAUUAGAUACCCUGGUAGUC
rnacentral:rRNA from 1 species